GGAGUGAACCGGGUGAUCGCCGGUCGGGCUGGGCCUUACCUUUGGGUGUGGCCGAGAUUCCGACAGGAGGAAAGUCCGGGCUCCGUAGGGCUCGAUGGUGGGUAACGCCCACCGGCCGCAAGGUCAGGGACAGUGCCACAGAAAGUAAACCGCCGGUAGGGUUUUCCCUGCCGGUAAGGGUGAAACGGUGAGGUAAGAGCUCACCAGCAGGCCGGGUGACCGGUCUGGCUCGGCAAACCCCAUCGGGAGCAAGGCCAAGCAGGAAGAAGUUCGUCUCCCUUGGAGGCGGCACGAAGCGGCCCGUUUCGUAGCCCACUUCCGGGUCGGCUGCUGGAGGCGUCGGGCAACCGACGUCCUAGAGAAAUGGUCAUCGCCCCCAACGGUCUUUGGACCGCUGGGGUACAAAACCCGGCUUAUAGGUUCACUCCAGUC
rnacentral:RNase_P_RNA from 1 species